UACGAAGGGGGCUAGCGUUGCUCGGAAUUACUGGGCGUAAAGCGCACGUAGGCGGUCUUUUAAGUCGGGGGUGAAAUCCUGGAGCCCAACUCCAGAACUGCCUUUGAUACUGAGGAGCUUGAGUCCGGGAGAGGUGAGUGGAACUGCGAGUGUAGAGGUGAAAUUCGUAGAUAUUCGGAAGAACACCAGUGGCGAAGGCGGCUCACUGGUCCGGUACUGACGCUGAGGUGCGAAAAGCGUGGGGAGCAAACAGGG
rnacentral:rRNA from 1 species